rnacentral:rRNA from 1 species
GACGAACGCUGGCGGCGUGCCUAACACAUGCAAGUCGAGCGGAGGCAUACGAGGAGUAAUCUGAGUAUGCCUGAGCGGCGGACGGGUGAGUAACGCGUGAGCAACCUGCCUUCCACAGGAGGAUAACGUACCGAAAGGUACACUAAUACCGCAUGAGACCACGGUACCGAUGGUAGUGGGGUCAAAGGAGCAAUCCGGUGGGAGAUGGGCUCGCGUCCGAUUAGGUAGUUGGCGGGGUAACGGCCCACCAAGCCUGUGAUCGGUAGCCGGCCUUAGAGGGUGAACGGCCACAUUGGAACUGAGAGACGGUCCAAACUCCUACGGGAGGCAGCAGUGGGGAAUAUUGGGCAAUGGGGGGAACCCUGACCCAGCAACGCCGCGUGAGGGAAGAAGGUUUUCGGAUUGUAAACCUCUGUUCUUGGAGAAGAGUGGAAGACGGUAUCCAAGGAGGAAGCCCCGGCUAACUACGUGCCAGCCGCCGCAGUAACAC